CCUAUGGGUGGCAGCAGUGGGGAAUAUUGCACAAUGGGGGAAACCCUGAUGCAGCAACGCCGCGUGGGUGAAGAAGUAUUUCGGUAUGUAAAGCCCUAUCAGUAGGGAAGAGAAUGACGGUACCUGAAUAAGAAGCUCCGGCUAACUACGUGAAGGCAGCCGCGGUAAUACGUAGGGGGCCAGCGUUAUCCGGAUUUACUGGGUGUAAAGGGAGCGUAGGUGGUUGGGCAAGUCUGAAGUGAAAGCGCGCGGCUCAACUGCGGAAAGGCAUUUGAAACUGUGUAACUGGAGUGCUGGAGAGGUAAGCGGAAUUCCUGGUGUAGCGGUGAAAUGCGUAGAGAUCAGGAGGAACACCGGCUGCGAAGGCGGCUUACUGGACAGUAACUGACGUUGAGGCUCGAAAGUGUGGGUAGCAAACAGGAUUAGAUACCCCUGUAGUC
rnacentral:rRNA from 1 species